AAGGGCCGCUCCUCCCGCCAGCCCGGUGGGAGCAGGGAGCGGGGAGUUGGGAACCUUCUUCCCGGCCUCCGCAGUCCCGUGGGAUCCGCGCCGCCUCCGACCUCGGCUAGGGGGCCGGGCUUCCCUGGGGACUGGCCGGCCCGCGGCGGGCUCCCGGGCUGGGGUCGCCCCCUGCCUGCGGCGUUCUCAGACAUCCCGUCUGAUUUCUAACGCUCACCCUUCCACCGCGCUGGGGAAAAGAUGUGGGAAGAUAAAUGAAGGGGUCUAGAUGUAAAUGUCAGUGGAAAGGAGAGCUACCACCACUAAGGUUUAUAUUCUGCAAGAUCCUGAAGAUACUUUCCUUCUUUUCCGGCUGAAAACACAGUUAAAUCACUUUCAAAGUUAAAAGACUAUUAAGAACACAAGAUGGGGACUCCUGGUUCUGGAAGGAAAAGAACACCUGUGAAAGACCGAUUUUCUGCA
rnacentral:sRNA from 1 species